AACGCACGAGACCUGCGGACCUGCGGAGGGAUCAUUACAGAGUUGCAAAACUCCAAACCAUUGUGAACUUACCUUUGCCGUUGCUUCGGCGGGCGGCCCGGGUCCCGACCCGGCGCCCCCCGGCCCCGUCAGGGGCGCCCGCCGGAGGUAAACCAAACUCUUGAAUUGUAUGGCCUCUCUGAGUCUUCUGUACUGAAUAAGUCAAAACUUUCAACAAUGGAUCUCUAGAUCGGAAGAGCA
rnacentral:misc_RNA from 1 species